GAUGAACGCUGGCGGCGUGCUUAACGCAUGCAAGUCGAACGGUGAAGGCGGAGCUUGCUCUGCUGGAUGAGUGGCGAACGGGUGAGUAACACGUGAGCAAUCUGCCCCUGACUCUGGGAUAAGCGCUGGAAACGGCGUCUAAUACUGGAUACGAGCUGCGACGGCAUCUUCAGCAGCUGGAAAGAAUUUCGGUCAGGGAUGAGCUCGCGGCCUAUCAGCUUGUUGGUGGGGUAAUGGCUCACCAAGGCGUCGACGGGUAGCCGGCCUGAGAGGGUGACCGGCCACACUGGGACUGAGACACGGCCCAGACUCCUACGGGAGGCAGCAGUGGGGAAUAUUGCACAAUGGGCGAAAGCCUGAUGCAGCAACGCCGCGUGAGGGAUGACGGCCUUCGGGUUGUAAACCUCUUUUGGCAGGGAAGAAGCGAAAGUGACGGUACCUGCAGAAAAAGCGCCGGCUAACUACGUG
rnacentral:rRNA from 1 species